AAAAUAAUCCUAUCUAACAAUUUUCUUUAUCCAUAAAUACAUAAAUAUAAUCAACUCAGCCGAUCAAUUUUUCAUGAUUUAAUGUAUGGAAUAACGAUAUGAAUAUAUUUUGGGUGAGCAGUUACUUAAGGCAUUUAGGGGCAAUUUUGAGUUAACUAGGCUAGCUAACUCGUUCGUGGACAAAACCUUGUUAUAGCGAUAACUCCAACAACGCUUAUUAGCAUUAGGAAAAGUAUCGCUAACUUGAGGUUAACGCCCUGUUAACAGGAAAAAUAGUUGGUUAAAAUUAGCGACGAAGGAGCAAGGUCAACUGU
rnacentral:misc_RNA from 1 species